ensembl:lncRNA
AUGUUUUUCUUCAUGACUGGCUGCCCACCUGUCUGCUUACGACAUGAUCUCACUGAUUACCUCCGAAAAGCACAAAAAUCUUGGGUCGGCUGCACUGCCAAGCGGAUGUUUGCAGUGGUGGAUGGGAAUCAUAGCGAUUUGAUCGCCUUCUUGGAGUACUUGUGGUCCAAGAUCAACUGGACAAAGACGAGAGUGAAGUGGACCCUAAGAGGGGCAACCAGACGAUGAACACCACUUGAGGAGAAAAGCAAUUGUUGGUAUGGCAAUGCAUUUCAUCUGACUUUUGCUCUUUUUUGACAUAGACUGCAGGGACCUAAAUGGCUGAUAUUUGCUUCCUUCUCCUCCUCUGCAACUUUUUAACCUAUGAGCAGUGUAAAGGGAUAGAUCACCUAAAAAUGAAAAUUCUGUCAUUAUUUACUAACUCUCAUGAUAUACUGAAACUGUAUUUUUUCAUGUGAUACAUAAAGUUACAAUGUUUAGAGAAUCUGUUCGAUUUUAUUAUUUGAAGUAUCAUAGAUAGAGUUAUGACAUUUUUAUUGUGUCUCUUUAAUAUCUUUUUUAAAGAUAACUGAAUGUUCAUUUGGCGAGUUUCAUAAUUAUAUUGCAUCACAUUACAUUGGAAUAGAUUAUAACCAAAGGUUUUCCAUUAUUUACUCACCCUCAUGUUUACUUGUAAAACCAUAUACAUUUUCAGAGAUUUUUUAUUGCAGUGACAGUUAAAAAUGAACAUUUCUGUCCAAAAAAAAAAAAACUUAACCGUAAGAAACAAAAAUAACAUUAUUAUUGUAUUAGUCUGUGAGCACAUUUUGCCAGUUAAUUAUUUUCCAUCCCUUCCGUGGAUGAUUU